AAGCAUUGAUGAGCAUCGUCACUCAUUCGACCUCAAGCUACGCCAACUGUAGCCUCGACUGCGCCACUUGUGUCUGAAUUGAGGAAGAACCACGAAUUUUGAGCUUAAUUAUCUGCGAGGGGCGCUCCAUCGUGGUAGCAACAUUACAUUUCAGAAGGAUGCGCAAGCUGCUGGUUUGAAAAUUGCGUAAUCUGUCGUGGAUUUGGAGAAGUCGGAUUCCGCCACUCUGCGAUGGGAGAAUGGCAAGAGUGUGAUUCCAAUUGAAGCGGUUGGCUGGUGGAACUCGAAAGUGUUGAGCGCCGAAGAGGAUGGGUGGAGAAAUCUCUUGAGCUUGCACACACAACAAAUGUAGCACCAGUUUUCAUUCAAGGACGUCGGUGAGUGCAUUUAAGUUUGGUGCUGAUGAAAUGGUGAUUGCUACAGGAGUUGCGAAGUUGGUGUCGCUGUGGAUCGCGCCAGGGUUUCCGACUGUUUUGCUUCGUUUCAGCGAGUGGAGACGAUUACAUGCUAUAUUGAAUGGUGCUCCGGAAGCUGUUGGUUAGUGGCUGGCUCCAAGGACUUGACGGCAAGACUUUUUUCGGCGAACAGGUUGGUUGAGCUGCGAGCGAAUCUCGUAGUGGCCACAGAGACGCACUGGUGUGGAGAUAUGUGGUUAAAGAGAACGUUAACAUCGGAGUGGGAGAUGAGGCGUGCGAAAAAAUGAUGGAAACUAGUGUGAAUGCUACGAUUGGGAAGUGGAUGAUAGCUGAGAGUAGAUUCCGCAAGCAAACUGCGAAGCCAACCACAUGUGAUCAUCGUCCAGGUUUCUCAAUAGGAGCUUUUGUUAUAUAUCAGCUUCCGGCCUUCACAUGCCUGUACCUGUUGCGCUUUUUUGGGCCAGUUGGUUGUCUGGGAGUGAUGUACCAAGUCGCAAAGUUUUGAAGCAGGAAGGGCAUUAUUUUCGAUGUGAAUUGCAGGAGUUCUGCCAGUAUUUUGCAAGUGGAGCAGAUGAUCACCAGCCAAAGGUUUGUUGAAAAUUCAGUAGCUUCUAGGAUACUUCAAAUUGUCGGAAAUUGCGUUAUAUUAUGGUUUAGGGUGCACAUUUGAACAAUGAGUAUUUGUUUGAACUUUAUGUCAAGUUCGAUUAGUAUUAUGUAAAUUGACGAUACGAAUGUCUAUAGUACCAGGUUUUGAUGGUACUUCUGAAGUGGUUGACAUAGUUGAAAGGUAUCUGAGUUUGUCAUACAUGAUAUACGAUGUGUGGAGGUUAGAGCGCGCGCUGUCUGGAAGAAGCCUUGUCGUUAUCUACAACGUCGUAUUUUCUGUACUAUUUUCUAUGGGAGAGUGUGCGUGCAUAGACGCCGCGGUUGCAGGUAAUUCAUGUCUCUUUCUGUUUUCAUUAUGCCCACGUUUGUGGUAACUAGUGUGUACGAACGCUUGUUUCGAAGUUCUUUUCGUGUCAGGUCGGUGAAAACAGGAAGGCUGCUUUUGUCUGUUCGGGUAUGAAGGCCCUGUCCUGCGCUCAUGCUUCUCUCUCAUCUCUACAAGUCACAUCUUGCAUGAGCAUGUUCAUUUGGAGAUUAUAAUGAACCUGAAAUUUAGCUGCCCUGACCUAAAUCGCUCGCAACGUGCUGCAAAUGACUUCAGUACUGGUUUUCUUGUUCCGUGCGGAGUGUUGCCUUCUGCUACAGUUUUUAGCACUUUGAGUUCUGUAUCUUCACUUUGCUUCCUACUUGGGUGAGAAAGUGACAUAUAAAUCCGUCUCAUUCUUGCUCUUGUUUUUGAAUUCAUGUAUUAGACAUUGUUUGGGCUCUUUAGUGGUAUGUGGUCACUGGUGUUGCAGCCACAUAGUCACCUUUCAAUAUCUCCCGUCACUCGUUGAAGAUGAUUGAUAACAUGGACACACUCUACGUUACUGUUGCUAGGAAGUGCUGGCAUCAUCAACUUGGGAUAGGAUAGUGAAGCUUUGGGAUGGUUUUGAAGGAAAAAGUUGAAAUCUUCACCCACAACCAUGAUAUGCUUGCAGUUGUUUUUCGUUCGGAUAGUAAACGAAUUGCCUGUACUAAAGCUGAUGGUCACGUUCACCUCUGGGAUACUAUUCAGGGUGUUGAAGUAGCCAGUCUUGCUGGCAGAGGAGACAACAAAGGUGAUCGGCUCAUGGGUGACGGUAGAACAAUGGAAAAUUCCAGCGCAGGAAAAGCCUUCAUUGGUUGGAGUUAUUUUGUUAAUGGGUACCGUAUCUUUGCCGGAGAUUCUAGUAAAGAUAUCUGUACGCUCAAUGUAUCGGAGCAAGUUGGUUUUAUCUUUUCUGCCUUGAGGGUGGUGAGGUUAUGUCUGUAUAUAUAUAUAUAUAUAUAUAUAUAUAGUGUGGUAUGUAUUCCCGGAACUGGUUUUGGUUAUAAACUGUUUGAGUUGUAUCUGCCAAAAUUGCCCAAGCAUGACUAUCUUACAGGAAUGAGCGCUUUGUCUUCGUUUAACCUUGAGAGUAACUUACCGGUAUACAGGGUCGAACAUACAUAAACCUAAUAGCCUUUGUUAUUGAAACCCCUACUUAAGUGGUACUGCCAAGGAUGCAAAUUACAAUUAACAAAUCAAUUUGAAUCAAAAGAGAUAAAACUUGUGACGAAUAGUUGGAUCUGAUGAUGGUCGAGAUAGUGAUGCUGAUGUUGACGGUGACAGCUCUGAACAAUUCUACUAAAAUUUGGGGACUUAUUUGCUUAGAACAAAAUUUAACUUUGGGAGAUCUGGAGCUCGUACAAGAGCACUGCAGCUUGCUCGAACAUGGAGGAUGUUUGCGGCUGCCACAACUGAUGCAUUUCAUAGAUGAAAAUCUUAACUACAAUUCGAUUGACAUUGACGUUGAUGUUGCACCUAAGGUAGGUCAUCUAACUAACCAGGUACUUGUUGACAUCAAAGUUUGGGAUGCAUUUUUCCUAAGUCUGAUGAGUUGAUGUAAGUGUUACCACCGUUGUAAUACUACUUUCAAAAAUUUAGUUUCAUGGUCUUUGAAGUGAUGCAUAUGACCACGUUUUCACAGAAGUUCAGUGGUAUGUGCCUAUGCUUAGUACGUGUGCUCAACUCUUUAAUCUUGUUGCACACAAUUUGUAAUGCUCUAGAAGUAAAAAGCUCCACACUGGUGCUGUUGUGAUGGCUCUUCGUCUCCACGAGCCUUUGCUGAUCGACAAAAAAGUAGAUUCUGUGCUUCUAGAAGACAUUACAGUUUUUGUUGCCUUAAA